AGUGGAUGGGGAGCAACCUAGUUGUGCGUGUGUAAAGGUAGUGCCAAGAAAAGCGAUGAUCAUGUUGAAAAUCAAUUCCCGGUACCCGAAACCGACACAGGUGGGCAAGUAGAGAAUACUAAGGGGCGCGAGGUAACUCUCUCCAAGGAACUCGGCAAAAUGACCCCGUAACUUAGGGAGAAGGGGUGCCACCGAGAGGUGGUCGCAGUGAAGAGGCCCAGGCGACUGUUUAGCAAAAACAUAGGUCUCUGCAAACUCGAAAGAGGAGGUAUAGGGGCUGACGCCUGCCCAGUGCCGGAAGGUUAAAGAAGUUGGUCAGUUUUAGGAUGAAGCUAGCGACUGAAGCCCCGGUGAACGGCGGCCGUAACUAUAACGGUCCUAAGGUAGCGAAAUUCCUUGUCGGGUAAGUUCCGACCCGCACGAAAGGCGUAACGAUCUGGGCGCUGUCUCGGAGAGAGGCUCGGCGAAAUAGGAUUGUCUGUGAAGAUACGGACUACCUGCAUUUGGACAGAAAGACCCUAUGAAGCUUUACUAUAGCUUGGAAUUGUGUUCGGGCUUCCUGUGCGCAGGAUAGGUGGGAGGCGAAGAAGGUAUUCUUGUGGGGAUACUGGAGCCAACGGUGAGAUACCACUCUCAGGAGGCUAGAAUUCUAACUUAAUUAAGGACAGUUUCAGGUGGGUAGUUUGACUGGGGCGGUCGCCUCCAAAAAGGUAACGGAGGCGUACAAAGGUUCCCUCAGACUGGUUGGAAAUCAGUCGCAGAGUGCAAAGGCAGAAGGGAGCUUGACUGCGAGAAGUACAGUUCGAGCAGGGUGGAAACACGGUCUUAGUGAUCCGACGGUGCUGUGUGGAAGGGCCGUCGCUCAACGGAUAAAAGUUACUCUAGGAUAACAGGCUGAUCUCCCCCAAGAGUUCACAUCGACGGGGAGGUUUGGCACCUCGAUGUCGGCUCAUCGCAACCUGGGGCGGAAGUACGUCCCAAGGGUUGGGCUGUUCGCCCAUUAAAGCGGUACGUGAGCUGGGUUCAGAACGUCGUGAGACAGUUCGGUCCAUAUCCGAUGUAGGCGUGAGAAUAUUGAGAGGAGCCUUCCUUAGUACGAGAGGACCGGGAAGGACGCACCGCUGGUGUACCUGUUAUGAUGCCAAUUGUAAACGCAGGGUAGCCAAGUGCGGAGAGGAUAACCGCUGAAAGCAUCUAAGUGGGAAGCCCACCUCAAGAUGAGUAUUCUGGUGUAAGGUCACGGGAAGACGACCCGUAAAUAGGCACGAGGUGGAAGUGCAGAGAUGUAUGAAGCCGAAGUGUACUAAUAGACCGUCGGC
rnacentral:rRNA from 1 species